AUUGAACGCUGGCGGCAGGCCUAACACAUGCAAGUCGAACGGUAACAUGAAGACGCUUGCUUCUUUGCUGACGAGUGGCGGACGGGUGAGUUAUGUCUUGGAAACUUCCUGAUGUAGGGGGUUAUCUACUGGAAUCGGUAGCUAAUACCGCAUAACUUCCCAAGUUCAAAGAGGGGGACCUUCGUUCCUCUUUCCAUCGGCUUUGCCCAUAUGGGAUUAGCUAGUAGGUGGGGUUACGGCUCACCUAGGCAACGAUCCCUAGAUGGUCUGAGAGGAUGACCAGCCACACUGGAACGGAGACGCGGUACAGACACCUACGGGAAGCAGCAGUGGGGAAUAUUACACAAUGGGCGAAAGGAGAAUACAGGAAAGCCGCGUGUAGGAAGAAGGACUAAGGGUUGGAAAGUAAUUUAAGCGGGGAGGAAGGAAAUAAAGUUAAAACCGUAGGAAAAUGACGUUACCGGCAGAAGAAGCACCGGCUAACUCCGUG
rnacentral:rRNA from 1 species